rnacentral:misc_RNA from 1 species
CAGUAUUAAGUAUUCACAAAAUAUGGCAGAGAUUAAAAUAGGAGUUAGCUACAUCGAACACAGUUGUGCACUGACCAGGUCCUGCAGUUCGAGACAGCCUCCUUAUGGCUUGUGUGUGUGAGCCGGACCUUACUUCCUCUAUCGAUAAGGCGCAAGAAGUCCAGAAGGCAUGUUCCUAGACGGCUCUUUGAUAUUACCAAAAUGGAGAAGAGACGGUCGGGAUCAGACUGAAUGUGAAAGUGUUGUACAGUGCGUGAAAAAAGUUUUCGAAGAAAACUUUAAUAGCCGGCAAAGACGGGGGCACGUUGAUAAUGUGAUAAAUAUUUCGUGAUGGGAAAUAAAGAAAAGCGGGACCAGA